rnacentral:lncRNA from 1 species
GGAAACUAAAGCAUAGGGAGGUAAAUAACCUUUUCAUGGCCCAACAGUGAAGGAACAAAAACUUUAACCAUAGUCUAUCAGAUUCCAAUGCCACUGAACCCAACCUUUCAUUGACAAUAAAGGUUAAGUGUAACUGAGCAUUAUGAUAGUCAGGUGAUUGAUCCGAGCACUGUGCAAGUAUAGCCAUUUAACCCUUGCAGCAACGCCAUCAGGUAAGCACAGUUAUUGCCCAUUCUACAUAUAAAGUAACAGAAGCAGAUAUCAAGCAACUUACCUGAAGGUCACAGAGCUGUGGAGUAGCACCACAGGAGUUCCAAUCCUGGAAGUUGGUUUCACAGCUGAGUUUAUAAGUGCUACUGCCUAAUGCCUCUCUUGCUUUGCAUUAUUCAAAAUAUCCUCCAUGCACCUACCAUACAUCCUAUCCCACAGUGUUGUUUUAUAGUGUGAAGACGAUGCUGCCAUUUAAAACCUGGUAGUUUUUCAACACUUCUCUGAUUACUUGUUCUUAUUUUUUUUUUACCAGAAACAGCUGUCUUGACUGAGGAGUGCGUAUAGAGAAUGAUCAGAGAGCUAUAAAUGUCCCAUCAGCCUGAAAACUUCUCUACAGAGCCCAGUCAAGGUCUUGAAUGUCUAAUCUUUGGACUUGAAACUUCUUAAAGGUCAGGGUGAAAGAAGAAAUACAUGGGCUAAAACCCCAACUGUAAUUAGCUUAAAUGAUUCCCCUUUAAAGAAUUGGCCAGACGACUCAGCAGUGAGAAGAGUGAGGACACAGAGGACAGGGUGAGAAGAAAGGAGAGGCGACAGGACGUGGGCUGCUGUGGCAACUGGCAGACAGUGACAGAGACACUGGGAAAGGGAAUCUGCUAGGAAAGGAGAGAGAAUCUUCAUUAGGACAGGUGGAAAAAAACAAGGCUUCUCCUGGCGGCUGUAUCACUCCUCCUGGCCUGAACUCAUUCUAAGGAACUACAACCUACCGGGCUACACCUGUCCUACUGGAAAAUGGAGGCAUGUUCCCCUCAGUGCAGCCACAUCCUCAGAUCUGCAGCAGAUACAGGGACAUCAAGAAAGGCUGUCAACGUGCAAAACGUGAGAACUGCAGAAGUGAGUCCUGCUGACCAGUACCCCUGGCUUGGUCUCAGUGUGAAGGCAGCUCUGAGUGGGGCUUAUCUGCUGUGAUUCCUUCUCCUCCACAUGCCUUGGCCUGGACAGGGGAUCUGGCUUAAAGGCUGUGCAUUGUAAAUAGUAUGUUGAAUGUUUAGGGCAGCACCCUUUACCUCCUGGGUCAUUAUAUCUUCAAAAAUGUAGUGUUAGAGCUUUGAUUUGCUGAACAGGUACAUUAGUGUGCUGUAGUCACAAAGUGCUUAUCCAACCCUGGCUCUAAUCCUGUCCUGUGCAACAGUACAAGUGUAUGUUCCUAACUCCAUUCAACAGGUGGGGAAGUGGGCAUUCAGACCCUGUGACCGAUACAUUGUCAUAGAGCUUGUGGAAGGCCAGGUCAGGAUUUGACUUCAUUUUAUUUAAUCCCAGAAGUUGUGAUUUAAGCCUGUUUUCUUUAUAUGAUGAC